rnacentral:rRNA from 1 species
GUAAGGAAUAUUGGUCAAUGGGGGCAACCCUGAACCAGCCAUGCCGCGUGAAGGAUGAAGGCGUUAUGCGUUGUAAACUUCUUUUGUAUGGGAAGAAUGACAGGGAUUUAUCCUUGGAGAGACGGUACCAUACGAAUAAGCACCGGCUAACUCCGUGCCAGCAGCCGCGGUAAUACGGAGGGUGCAAGCGUUAUCCGGAAUCACUGGGUUUAAAGGGUACGUAGGCGGUUAAUUAAGUCAGUAGUGAAAGACUGUCGCUCAACGACGGAUGUGCUAUUGAUACUGGUUAACUUGAAUCAGGUUAGAGUUGGCGGAAUGGGUCAUGUAGCGGUGAAAUGCUUAGAUAUGACAUAGAACACCAAUUGCGAAGGCAGCUGGCUACACAUAUAUUGACACUGAGGCACGAAAGCGUGGGGAUCAAACAGGAUUAGAAACCCUUGUAGUCC